rnacentral:rRNA from 1 species
GAUGAACGCUAGCUACAGGCUUAACACAUGCAAGUCGAGGGACCGGCGCACGGGUGAGUAACACGUUACCAACCUGCCCUUUUCUCUGGGAUAGCCUUUUGACAGAAAGAUUAAUACCCUAUGUAUAGUAGGGGUAUGCGUUCCAUGAGGUUGUUGGUGGGGUUACGGCUCACCAAGCCUUCGAUGGAUAGGGGUUCUGAGAGGAAGGUCGCCCGCAUUGGAACUGAGACACGGACCAAACUCCUACGUGAGGCAGCAGUGAGGAAUAUUGGUCAAUGGGCGGUAGCCUGAACCAGCCAAGUAACGUGAAGGAUAAAGGCUUAUGGGACGUAAACUUCUUUUAUAUAAGAAUAUGUAUUAUAUGAAUAAGGAUCGGCUAACUCCGUGCCAGCAGCCGCGGUAAUUC